GGAAGCUCAAAGAAGCCAAGAAGAUACUCAUGGAUGAAAUGCUUUGCACAUAUGGGAUGGAAAGUUGUGCUGUAUUAAGUCAAAAAGCAGCUUCUGAAGAAUGUAUUAUGGCUGCAGCUUCACAGGGAGAGAGAAACAGCUGGGGCGGUUGACAUCUGAAACAGGAGCGGCUGAUGGUUCCUUGCGCAGCAGAUGGGCUUGGGUUAUGAAUAAGCAGCAAAUGUGAAAAAGAGAUUCUCAGGGUUGAGCCAGGAACUGUGAGAAAAAGCCAUGACGCAAAACGGGGUCUUGAGAAAAGAUCUGCUUGUUCAGAGAAGCACCACUCAGGUGGAAGAA